AAAUUUAUUUCAUGGUUUUAAUAGUUAAAUCAUGUUUACUUUGGUUUACUAAAAUCGGUUUACACAUUUGAUUUGGUUAUAUUUGGUUUACACAUUUGAUUUAGAAUGUUUAAUCUUUAUUGGUUUGGUUAUGAGUAAUCCAUUAAUCCAUUCUAACAUAAACUAUUUCAAUCCAAUUCAUUAAACUCACUAAUCCAUUAAAUCCAUUAAUCCAUUAAGAUCCAAAUUUCUCAUUCAUUAUAUCCAUGGAUUGGAUUGGUUUGGAUUGAUCCAUUAACUUUUAUCCAUUUUGACACCCCUAGCCAGACGUGAGCCCGUAAUUACAACGGCACAUGAAGAAACAAUCUGCUCCACCGUGAAUCUCUCACCACUCUCCUCACCCAAACCAUCCCCAAGCGCGCUAUAAUAGUACUGCAAAGCCUCCACGAAUCUCCCUAAAAAGCUUCCUCCAUCGUCGUAGCUCAAUUUUUGCUCCACCACCGUAAUCAGAUUCGGUUUCAGCUUCCGUAAAAUCUCCAACGUCUCGAGAUCGUUCCGGGUGACGUCAUAUAACCGGUGUUGCAUCUAGUGAACCACCACGGCUUCGCCUUGUCUCGGAUCGAUUAGGUUUCCGAUUUUUCCUUCAAUUGGUUGAAAUUCGAAAGGGAGGUUUAACGAUGAUGCGAAGUCGGCGAUCCGAUCAAUGAGAUCAUUCAAUCAUCUGCGAUCUAUUGAGAAGAUAACUGAAAAAGAAAUAGAUGAUAAAUUUUGUGUGUUUGGUUUUCUUUCUCGAAGAAGAAGAUGAAGGAUAGUAGAGAAUUUUGAUUUCUCACGAAGAGGAAGAGAAGAAGAAGAAGAAGAAGAAGAAGAAGGUUUUUUAGCCGUUACAAGGUUUUGUGAUUUUGUAGAUAUUGUAUAGAUUUUCUAGCCGUUACAAGGUUUUGUGAUUUUGUAGAUAUUGUAUAGAUUUUCUAGCCGUUACAAGGUUUUGUGAUUUUGUAGAUAUUGUAUAGAUUUUCUAGCCGUUACAAGGUUUUGUGAUUUUGUAGCUUUAGCUCUGUAUAAAUAUGUGAACCUUAUUAUGUAGAAGCUGCGGAGUCUUUUCUUGAUUAAAUAAAGGAAAUUUUGUUAACAAAAGCAAUCAUCACAAAAAUUUCCUUUUUUUUUUUUAAGGUUGAGUAUUUUCCUUUUUUUUUGUUGUUUCCUUUUUUUUUUUUUUUAACCUUUUUAAUAUAUUUGGGGGCUUUAAUUAAUUAAUUAAAUACACAGAGUAAGAUGAAGAAUAUCAACUCCAUUCCCUUAGGAGGUCUCUGAUGCUUAUAUAAUGUGCACGUUCGUUGAGGAGCUAAGAAGAAUCAGAUGGUCCAAUUAACCAAGAGAUUGACCCGAUAAAACCAUUCAUGGGACCAGCGUGAGUCAGAGGAAAACUAAAACUUUGUUCUUUUUUUUUUGUCUUUUCAUUUCAGUUGUCAUAGUGGUUUUUCCAAUAUGGUUUUGGUUUGGUUGGUUAAACUGGAUCGACCAUCCCUACAUUAAACAAACAAUUCUGAACAAGUAACUGGAGCUAUGAUUAGUUUGUAAACUCUAUUUAUCGUUUAUGGAGCAAAUGGAGGUAAAGGAAGUGGUUCCAUGUAUCAGGAACACCAGGGAGACACCAAUGACUGCAAUCUUGGACAGCUUUUGAACGCCGGUUUUCGGGUUUUGUUCCGUAAAUAGACGGGUGGGCGUCAAUUCUG
rnacentral:lncRNA from 1 species